AGUGGCGGACGGGUGAGUAACGCGUAGGAAUCUACCUGAUAGUGGGGGAUAGCCCGAAGAAAUUCGGAUUAAUACCGCAUAAUCUAUUCGUAGUAAAGUGGGGGACUUUCGAGCCUCACGCUAUUAGAUGAGCCUGCGUAAGAUUAGCUAGUUGGUAGGGUAAAAGCCUACCAAGGCGACGAUCUUUAGCUGGUCUGAGAGGAUGAUCAGCCACAUCGGGACUGAGACACGGCCCGAACUCCUACGGGAGGCAGCAGUGGGGAAUAUUGGACAAUGGGGGCAACCCUGAUCCAGCAAUACCGCGUGUGUGAAGAAGGCCUGAGGGUUGUAAAGCACUUUCAAUUGUGAAGAAAAGCUAGUGGUUAAUAGCCAUUAGCCUUGACGUUAACUUUAGAAGAAGCACCGGCUAACUCCGUGCCAGCAGCCGCGGUAAUACGGAGGGUGCAAGCGUUAAUCGGAAUUACUGGGCGUAAAGCGUGCGUAGGCGGUUUAUUAAGUCAGAUGUGAAAGCCCCGGGCUUAACCUGGGAACUGCAUUUGAAACUGGUCAACUAGAGUAUGGUAGAGGAAAGUGGAAUUUCUGGUGUAGCGGUGAAAUGCGUAGAUAUCAGAACGAACAUCAAUGGCGAAGGCAACUUUCUGGGACAUACUGACGCUGAGUACGAAGCGGUGGGUAGCAACAGAUAGAUACUCUGGUAGUCCACCGUUA
rnacentral:rRNA from 1 species